UACAGAGGGUGCGAGCGUUAAUCGGAAUUACUGGGCGUAAAGCGUGCGUAGACGGUUUCGUAAGUCGGGUGUGAAAGCCCCGGGCUCAACCUGGGAAUUGCAUUUAAGACUGCGUAGCUAGGGUGCGGAAGAGGGAAGCGGAAUUUCCGGUGUAGCGGUGAAAUGCGUAGAUAUCGGAAGGAACAUCAGUGGCGAAAGCGGCUUCCUGGUCCAGCACCGACGUUCAGGCACGAAAGCGUGGGGAGCAAACAGG
rnacentral:rRNA from 1 species